rnacentral:tRNA from 4 species
GCGGAAAUAGCUCAGUUGGUAGAGCGCAACCUUGCCAAGGUUGAGGUCGCGGGUCCGAGCCCCGUUUUCCGCUCCA